AGUCGAUGAGCUUGUUUAUACCUCAAUCAUUUUACACUUGUUUGACGUUAUUUUAAUAAAGGUAGGUGAACUAAAAACCACCAAAGAACUUUGGAAAAAUUCGAAGACCUGUAUUUGCUCAAAUUUACCUCAAACAAGCUUUACUUGCUUGAGCGUUUCUUCAGCUUUAAAAUAAAUCGUUCAAAGGAUCUCGAUGAUAAAUUAGAAGUAUUUAACAAAUUAGUUCAAGAUAUUGUUAACUGUGAGGAGACAGUGUUCGAAACCUAUAAGGUCAUAAUUUUGCUUAACUCAAUGCUUGACACGUAUAAGGAAGUUAAAAAUGCAAUUAAGUAUGGUUGGGACACUUUGAAGUCUGAAAUUGUCAUAGACUCAUUUAGAAGUAAGGAGAUGGAAAAUAGAUCUGAAAAAUGUGAUAAGAAAAGCGGUGAGAUACAUAUGAUAAGAGGUAGAACUCAGUUUAAGUAAAACAGUCAUGAUAGAUACCAAAGUAGUGGUGAGUCAAGUAGUAACUGAGGGAAAAAGAAGGCAAUGAUAGGUCUAGAUCAAAAUCUAGAAUGAAUGUUAGAAAAUGCUAUGGUUAUGGAAACACAUGGCAUUUUAUAAAGGAUUAUUAUAAGGAAAAAGGUAAGCAAAAGAUUAAGGAGAGAGAUGAGGUAAACGUAUUGUCUUUUAUUCCUGAUGUUGAUGACGAUGAGGUUUACAUGAUUACAAGUCCUGUCGCUUAUAAUGUUGAAUUAAAUCUAACUGCUAAUUCAUAUGAGUGAAUACUUGAUUCUGGUGUAUCUUUUCACGUGACAUCUGAAAGGGAUUGGUUUGAAAACUUGCAUGAAUUUAACACUGGGCAUGUUGUGCUGUGUGAUAACUUUGCCUAUACUAUUGCUGAAAUUUGCGAUAUUAAUAUAAAAUUUGACAUUGACUUUGUGUACACCUUGAAAGAUGUUAGAUAUAUUCCUGAACUACCUAGGAAUUUAAUUUCGAUAGGGAGGCUUGAAAAAGAUAAGUUUACUGGUAAAAUUGGAAAUUGAACGCUAAAGACGAUUAAGGGUGCACUAGUUUCUAUUAAGAGAACUAAGAAAAAUGAGAUUUAUAUCACUACCGGAGAAGCAAUUAGAGGUUUAAACUUCUCUAUUUUCUCAGCCAAAAUUGAUCACACAUAUACAUGGCAUAAUAGGAUUGCACAUCUAGGCAUUAAGGGACUUAAGCUUCUUAACGAAAAUGGUGCAUUUGGUAAUGACUGUGUGUCUAAUUUGUCAUUCUGUGAUCACUUGGUAAACAUCAUAGAAAUUCUUUCUCCACUAGUUUUCAUAAAACUAAAGGCAUACUUGAAUAUGUGUAUUUUGAUCUGUGGGGUACUGCUAGUAAUCCCACCUCGGGUGGAAAUAGGUAUUUAUUGUCAAUUAUCGAUAACUACAUGAGGAAAGUGUGGGUUUAUCUUCUAAAUGAUAAAUCUGAUACUUUUCACAACUUUAAUAACUGGAAAAGACAAAUAGAAAACAAACUGGCAAACAAAUUAAAUUCUUGAGAACAAAUAAUGGCCUAGAGUUUUGUAGCACUGAAUUUGAUAGUAUGUGCAAGGAAAAUGGAAUAACAAGGCAAAAAACUGUUCCUUACACUUUUCAACAAAAAGGGGUAGUGGAAAGGAUGGAUAAAACUAUACUUGAUAAAGUACAUUGCAUGAUGUUAAGUUAUAGUGUUCCAGAG
rnacentral:lncRNA from 1 species